CUACGGGAUGCUGCAGUGAGGAAUAUUGCACAAUGGGGGGAACCCUGAUGCAGCAACGCCGCGUGGAGGAUGACGCAUUUCGGUGUGUAAACUCCUUUUAUAUGUCAAGAAAAUGACGGUAGCAUAUGAAUAAGCACCGGCUAACUCCGUGCCAGCAGCCGCGGUAAUACGGAGGGUGCAAGCGUUACUCGGAAUCACUGGGCGUAAAGGACGCGUAGGCGGGUUGGAAAGUCAGGUGUGAAAUCCUACAGCAUAACUGUAGAACUGCACUUGAAACUUCUAAUCUUGAGUAUGGGAGGGGGGGAUGGAAUUAGGGGUGUAGGGGUAAAAUCCGUAGAUAUCACUAGGAAUACCUAAAGCGAAGGCGAUCUCCUGGAACAUUACUGACGCUAAGGCGUGAAAGCGUGGGGAGCAAACAGGAUUAGAUACCCUCGUAGUC
rnacentral:rRNA from 1 species